rnacentral:rRNA from 1 species
GCUUACGGCCAUACCACCCUGAACACGCCCGAUCUCGUCCGAUCUCGGAAGCUAAGCAGGGUCGGGCCUGGUUAGUACUUGGAUAGACCGCCUGGGGGGAAUACCAGGUGCUGUAAGCU